rnacentral:rRNA from 1 species
UACAGAGGUCUCAAGCGUUGUUCGGAUUCAUUGGGCGUAAAGGGUGCGUAGGCGGCGCGGUAAGUCGGGUGUGAAAUCUCGGAGCUUAACUCCGAAACUGCAUUCGAUACUGCCGUGCUUGAGGACUGGAGAGGAGACUGGAAUUUACGGUGUAGCGGUGAAAUGCGUAGAUAUCGUAAGGAAGACCAGUGGCGAAGGCGGGUCUCUGGAGAGUUCCUGACGCUGAGGCACGAAGGCCAGGGGAGCAAACGGG